rnacentral:sRNA from 1 species
UAUGAUGCCACCUUAGAAGACCUGGAUAAUUUGUACAACUAUGAAAACAUACCUGUUGAUCAAGUUGAGAUUGAAAUAGCCACAGUGAUGCCUUCAGGGAACAGAGAGCUCCUCACUCCACCCCCACAGCCUGAGGAGGCCCAGGAAGAGGAAGAGGAGGAGGAAUCUACUCCCAGGCUUAUUGAUGGCUCUUCUCCCCAGGAGCCUGAAUUCACAGGGGUUCUGGGGCCACACACAAAUGAAGACUUUCCAACCUGUCUUCUGUGUACUUGUAUAAGUACCACCGUGUACUGUGAUGACCACGAACUUGAUGCUAUUCCUCCGCUGCCCAAGAACACCGCUUAUUUCUAUGCCCGCUUUAACAGAAUUAAAAAGAUCAACAAAAAUGACUUUGCAAGCCUAAGUAUGGAUGACAGUAUUAACGGCCUUCACCGCUUUACAGACUUCCCUAAAAUUUUUACAUUGUUAAAUGUUAGCACUGAGAAUGAAACUUGAACGCCAAAGCCUGGUUCAUAAAUCAAUAGUUUUUUGUUAUUUAAAAAUUUGAGAGUUUGCUUUAAUAAUUGUAAGAAAAACAACAAAUAAGCAAUAGUCAUUUCAAAACCACAUAGGUGAUGUUUUCAAAUGAGCAAUUUAAAUAUGUAUGAUAAAUAAUUAUAUUUUA